rnacentral:lncRNA from 1 species
AGUUACUGCCACCCUCUCCCAGGUCUAGAGAGGGGUACCCACGGUGGAGGGAGGUGGGAGGCCGAGACGGCCCCGGGGGUCGGCGGAGACCCAGCGGGAGCAGGGGGAAAUCGGAAGAGCUGGGGGCAUGGAGCGGGCGAGUUUGGAGCGGAAUGAGCCGGGAGCCCUACGUUGUGGAAGGAAGACAACAGUAUAGGACCAUCAGCAGGACCGGACAGAGAGGGGCACGGUUUCUCUGUAUAGCCCUGGCUGUCCUGGAACUUGUAGACCAGGCUGGCCUUGAACUCAGAAAUCCGCCUGCCUCUGACUCCCGAGUGCUGAGAUUAAAGGUGUGCACCACCACACCCGACAAGGAAGCCUGUUUUAAGAAGUGAUUCCAUGGAGGAGUUCUGCGGCGGCUCAGGGCUUGACUAAACAGUGGACCUCAGUAGACAAGAGAGGCUAAACCAGGCUGCAGGUGACAGGAAGAAUUGAAUAAACUGAAAGCAAAGGGCAGCCUUCUAAUUACGCUUCGUGGCUAUGUGGACAACCUGGAGAAGUCUGGAAACACCCGAGGGUGAAGGAUGAGGAGGAUGGAAGAAAAUGGGAGUGGCGCUUGCUGCAAAGGGUCUCGAAGGGUCUCAGCACCUGCGAACUGGCUCCAAUCCAAACUCCACUAUUCAUGGUCAAGUUCACAUAGGGCUUGGGGUUCUAACAAGAUGUGACUAAAC